CACGUAGGGCGCAAGCGUUGUCCGGAAUUAUUGGGCGUAAAGAGCUCGUAGGCGGUCUGUUGCGUCUGCUGUGAAAACCCGGGGCUUAACCCCUGGCUUGCAGUGGAUACGGACAGACUAGAGGUCGGUAGGGGAGUGUGGAAUUCCUGGUGGAGCGGUGAAAUGCGCAGAUAUCAGGAGGAACACCCGUAGCGAAGGCGGCGCUCUGGGCCGAUUCUGACACUGAGGAGCGAAAGCGUGGGGAGCGAACAGG
rnacentral:rRNA from 1 species